AAGUAAGAUAGCAGUGCUCGAAGUUUACAAAUGUCCCAGAAUAUUGGCAGACCGCCUGGACUUUUCAAGGGAAAGGUCACAAAGUUGAUCAGAGGGCUGGAACAUUUCCCCUGUAAGGACAGGCUGAGAAAGCUGAGGUUGUUCAGUCUGGAGAAGAGAGGAGGGCCUACAGAAAUUCUGGGGUGAGAUAUUUUAUAAGGGCGUGUAGCAACAGGAUGUAGGAAAAUGGCUAUAAAAUGGAAGAGAGUAGAUUUAGACUAGUCAUAAGGAAGAAUAUAAGAAAUUAUAAGGAAGAAGUUUUUCUCUGUGAGAGUAAUGAGACACUGGAACAGGUUGCUCAGAGACAUUGUGGGUGUCCCCUCCCAGGAGGUGUUCAAGGCCACGCUAGAUGGGGCUUUGAGCAACCUGGUCUAGCAGGAGGUGUCCUUGUCCAUGGCAAGGGUUAGAACAACACAUUCUCUAAGGUCCCUUCCAACACAUACCAUUCUGUGAUUCUAUGAAAAUUAGUAAUGACAUUUUUAUUUUACUUGGCAACAAAUUCACCACAUCAAGAUGUUUUGCCUGCAGUGGUAGUUAGAAAGCAAUCUACCUGUCUUAAUCUUGAUCCUUCUUGUUCUUUCUGCUUUCUAAUCCCAUCCUACUGCAGGAGGAAUUAAGUAAGCAGCUAAGUAAGCAUUUGGCUUUUAGCCAAGUCUAACCCAUCUUGUUGCUCUUAAGAAUUUCUGCCUUGUUCUUGCCUCCUAAAUAUUUAGUCAUCAGGUCCAGUUUCCACCUUGGACAUGUCAAUAUUCCUGCAAAGUACAACUAAUUUUGUAAGUAAGUGUAAAUAAGUUCAAAGUGAUCUUGAAAAUUUAAACUCAAAGGUACUUUUCUCUUUUUCUUUUUUAUUUUAAUAGCAGAUAGGCUAGGCUAUGCUCUAUGCUUGCCUAGAAGAUUUUAUCAGGAUUUAGAAACAUUAGAGACACUUCAACCCACUUUCUCCUCUUCCUUUUGUGACACACUUUAGUUUUUGUCACAUAUAAAAUGGAAUAAAAAUCAUCAAUAGUACUAAAAUGAAUGUCUGUCUAAGAAUUACCAUUUCUGAUGCAGUUGAUGUAGCACAUGUAAAAAGUAUAUUUUGCUUUGGUCUGAUGGAAAUGUGCAUCUGAUUUAGAAUAAUUUGUCUUGCUACUUGAGCAAACAAAAUGUAAUUAAGUUGCCUAUAACAGCUAAGAAUAAUAGCUUCUCAUUAAUAUUGUUACCUGGGUGUUAAAAAACCUAAAGCAAGGCAAAUGUAAUGAAUUUAGCAAGUUAACAGAAUUGCCUUUUUUUUUUUUUAAGCAAUCUUUUCAUGCCACUGUAUUUGAGAUGGUGUCAGCAUUGCUAUUAUAAAUAAUUUAAGCAUUUAUAACUCAGUAAGAGAAGAGCACUAGUUCAGUCACAUUCUAAAUGAGUUAUUUGCUCAAUAUGUCUUCAAGGCUUAAGGGAACAUAAGAUAAAACUUACAUUUUCCUCUAGGGGCAUUAGUAAUUAAGCUAGAUAUUCAACUUUAACCAGACAAUUAAAAAAGGUUCCUCAGUGCUACUUUGAAUGCAAAGUUUGUCUAAACAUGAUGUACUUACAUGCAGGAUAGGAUGAUUUUGGGAGGUAUUCCAAGAACAGAAACAGCAGUGACUAUCACUGCUUGUCAAAUAAUGAAUAAUAAGAGUUGUCCUGCAGAGGACAAGUGAGAGGUCAGAGGAAGAAGAUAGCUUUUUUUCUUUUGUUAACGGAUGGUGCAAAAAUUCUAUGUUACCAUUCGGAUGGAGAAAAUAUAAGAUAUUGUUCUAGGCCCCUUUCCAAAAAAGCACUUAUACUUUCAUUUGUGUGGUAGUGAACAGUCUUGCUGAUUUCAGCCACUUUUCACAUGGCUAAAUUGAAGCACACACUUACAGAACUGUUGGAUUGUUGCUGAGACAGAUGCAUACUUAGGAAGCAAAAGAGCAGUAAGGUUGAAAUUAGUAAUUCAGUCACAACACUAGCAUCAUUCUCAUGAUGCAUAAAAGCAUUAUUUUUCAACAUUCACUUCUCUUUCUGAAGGACUGGAAACAAAUAGCAGGUAAUAAUCAGAACAGUUUAAAUCUGCAGUUUAGUAAUUCAAAUCUUAUAUGAUAAUUUUUUGCAUUCUCACUCUUGUGCCAAAUUAAAAGUUUUGAAAUAGAAUUAAUGGAGUUAGAAUUCACAUGAGAAUUUGUUAAUUGCUGUGAUAAAAAUAAUGAGACUGACAGGCUUGAGAACUGGGCCCUAAUGAGGUUCAACAAGGGCAAGUGUAAGGACUUGGGGGGUCCUGGUGGAUGAGAAGCUGGACAUGAUCCAAUAGUAUGCAUAUGCAGCCCAGAGGGCCAACUGUAUUCGGGGCUGCAUUAAAAAAGGAGUGGCCAGAAGGGAUAGGGAGGUAAUUGUCCCCUUCUACUCAGCUCUUGUGAGACUGCCUGAACCCAUCUUUGGCUUUGGCUUUGGCUCAAAGCUUGCUUUCUGAGGCAUUUCUUGUGAUAAGACUCUUACUUAUCUAGGAGAUGAGAGGUGCUGUGUGGCAGUGGGCAUCACUGUGUGGACUAUUUUACAUUUGAAAACAUUUCUUUGGAGCUGUUUGCCUUCUGAAGAGAAUGCUCAGGACUGUUUUCUGGCGGAAGAUCUGUCCUGUGACCAAAUAACUCCAGAUUGCUAUGGCAGACUGGGGGGAUGAUACCAUUGUAUCCUGUGAAGGCAAGAAAUAAGGGGGUGCCUCCCUGCUCCCUCUUGUCUGCUGGCAAGGCCCAGAAGAUGGGAACAAAAGGAGUUCCUGCUGUGAUCCAAAAGCCAGCAGCUGUCACUACAAAAGGAGCUGACUAGGCCACUUUGGACUUAUAAAUAAGCUUGUACUGACAUUGGAAAGAGUCGUUGUCAUCGUCGCUGUCAUUAUCGUCAAAUGAACAACAACCCCUGAUGACCCAUCACUACUGAAGAUCAACAUCUGAACUACGAGCAGUGCUGGAAUCCAUGGUGGUGACUAUCUCUUUUGCUUUCUACAAAGACUCCUUGCUUUUAUUUUUUAUCUUUCCUAUCGCCCAUCUUCUCUUCCCCAUCUCCCUAAAUGACUAGGAUUUGUGAUAAACUGGUUGGGUUAACAUUUGACUCUCUUUGUCUUAAUCUCCGCAUUGGGUAUACAAAUACUAAAAGAACCUCUUCUUCCUCCUUUAAAUUAUAGCUAGACAGAGGCCCCAUCUGGAGUACUGCAUCCAUGUGUGAGGCGCCCAGCACAAGAAAGACGCAGAGCUCUUGGAACAGGUCCAGAGGAGGACCACUAAGAUGAUCAGAGGGCUGGAGCACCUAUGAAGAAAAGUUGAGGGAACUGGGCUUGUUUAGCUUGGAGAAGAGAAGGCUCCAGGGAGACCUCCCUGUGGCCUUCCAGUACUUAAAGGGAGAGUAUAAACAGGAGGGGGUACAACUGUUUACAUGGGUCGAUAGUGACAUGACAAGGGCAAUAGUUUUAAACUAAUACAGGGGGAAUUUAGGUUAAAUAUUAGGAGGAAGUUUUUCACUCAGAGGGUGGUGAUGCACUGGAACAGGUUGCCCAAGGAGGUAGUGGAUGCCCCAUCUCUGGAGGCAUUCAAGGCAAGGAUAGGUGUGCCUCUGGUCUAGUCAUUGGUGACCUUGCCCAUGGCAGGGGGGAUGAAGCUAGAUGAUCUUUGAGGUCUUUUUCAAUCUAGGCCGAUCUGUGAUUCUAUGUUUUGCAGUAGAUGAGCUACUGCUGGACAAUUUCUGCAUGUAUCAUUUUUAAAAGAAUUUACACUGAUUACAUCAGAACAUUCAGUCUUUCUUGACAGUCUUUUUUCUUGUUAUUGGCAGGGCAGUAAUUACUACAUAAAAAUAUGUAUGUAGGAACAGAGAACACUUUAAGAACUUUGUUAUGAGGUAAAUACUAGGCAAAAAAUAUAAAAGGAGAAUUUGUAAUGAGCACAUCCGAUAAUACACAAAAAGUAUAUUUUCUUCUUUUUUUUUCCUCCCUCUCCUAAUGAGGUUCUGAAUAAAAUCAUUUAAAAAUGAUCCUUCCUUUUGUGUUAAGAAAGAGAGCUUCUUCUAUCGCAUGUCCAUAUCACUUGAAGUACUACUCUAGGUAUUCAAAUGAUUCCAAUCCCUUGAAAUCAGCAUGAGCAGAUAGAAGGCAAACCUGAUGAAGAGCUCGUUAGGCAAUCUCAGAAAAGAUUUUGAAGUGAUAAACUAUUUUUGCUGUUUUCACAAAUUUUCAGGUAUAAAGUCCUAGGUUCUGUUUCACAUGGAGCAGACAAAUCACCUGGGAAGCUGAUGCCCUUUGAUGAAGAGAAAGCCUCUAAGACUUUCUUUAACUCUGCAUCAAUUCAUAGGAAAGAAGUUUUGGAACCAUGGCUCAUAGAGCUUUUAACCUUUUGUGGAGACUGCCUGAUGAGGUUCUGCACAGAUGCCUUUAUGGAAUGAGGUGACAAUCCCCCUCCAUAUCCAAUUAAUCCUUCAGAAAUAGAUGCUGAAGCAGCUUUCAUUUUUUUGCAGUUGUAUUUUGGUCCAUUGUAGAGCUGAGCUUCUGAAAGAUGCUCUCCACUGAUUCUGAGAAUCUCUAACUACAUUUUUUGAUUAUGAGAUUAUCAUUUGUGAGCCAGUCAGGGUUUAAAUUCAACACUUUGCUCUGGUAAAUUAAAGUUACUUGAUUGAAAUGUAUCUUGCUAAUCAUAGUACAUAAAGCUUUAAUUCACAAAUCUAUAUCCCAUACAGGGAGAUUACAGUACUAGAUGUACUACAGUACUGUUAAUUUGCCAUUACUGUUGAACUUUAAAUCUCUAGAGAAAGGUUGGAAUAAUAUUCAUGAGACAGGACAGUAGCUAUAAAACCAACAGAAUAAAACCAUCUUGCGGAGGCACUGUCAUGGUUUUGGAUGGCGUAGUGUUAAAUUUUUCAUAGAGGUUUGGAUAAUGCUGUGUUUUGAAUUUUUGAUAAGAAUAAUGUUGAUAACACACUGAUGUUUUGCUUGUUGCAGAGAAGUUCUAUGAGAGAGAGAAGAACAUUUCAGCUUCUUGUGCUGCCCUGCCAGUGAGGAGACGGGGGGUGCAAAGAAGCUGAGGUGGGACAGAACCAGGACAGCUGACCCAAAAUGUCCAAAGGAAUAUCCUAUACCAUAUGACAUAGUUCUGACAAUAAAACUGGGGUAAGGAAACUGGAAGGGAAAGAUGUCUGGAGUGUUUGUCUUCUCAAGAAAUCAUUACAUGUUAUGAGCAGGGCUAUACUGGAAAUGGCUGAACAUCUGCCUGAUGAUGGGAAGAAUUGAAUGAAUUCCUUGUUUUGUUUUGUUUUCAUGCAUAAUUUUUUCUUUAUCUAUUAAUCUGCCUUUAUUGCAACUCAUGAGUUCUUGAACUUUUACCUUUCUGGUUCUCUCCCUCACUCCACUGCAGAGACUGAGUGAGCUGUGUCGUGCUGAGCUGCCUGCCAGGGUUAAACCACAGCAGUAGUGCACCCAACAGAGGACUGGAAGAGUUUGAGAUUAUGACAGAUUUGACUGGAGUAUGGAGCGUGCUACACCAAAUGCAUAGUUGUUAUACUCUUCAGCUGCUAAUUGGUAUGCUCCCGCAGUUUUCCUGGGUCUUGCUUGCCUUACUGUAUUUUGGAGUCUACUAUCUGUUAGUGGAUGCUUUUGCUCUGUCUUCCCUCUCCACUUUCUACUUUCCACUCUCCCCUCUCCUCAGAAAACAAACAAACAAUAAUAGUAAUAAUAAUAGUAAUAGUAAUAAAACAAAACAAACAAACAAAACAAAACAAAACAAAAAAACCCGGAGGUUUUUAAUCAGUAGAUGGCAGUAAGAGCUAGCAAGAAGCCUGAAAGGGAGUCUCACAGACCUACACAUUAAUCAUACAUAUAGCAAAUUCCACAAAGUACAAGCCGACAAAGACCCUGCUUUACCACAAUCAAUCUUUAUUCACCACUAGAUUACAGUGGUUAGAUAUAUUUGAUUGCCACAGGUCCAAGAAAAAGCUUAUAAAUAACUAUAAAUGUAAUCGGCUUAAAUUUUUGCCAUUGUAUUUUUUGGUUUUAUUUUUGUUGUAGGCUGAGAUUGGGGUGCAAUCUGUUUAUCCUUAGAUUUGUUGUAUGACCACCCAGUCCAUCUGUCACCUUGACUUUGAAGCUGUAAUUUUAAUGUUUGGCUCUGUAAAUGUUUAAAGCAUCAUUACAAAUUUACAAAGGGAAAGAUACUGCUAACGGUGCAGCUGAAAUAAGACUGUCUCAGCUCACUUGUCUUUACUCCAAGACUUUCACUGCUGUGUGCCUGUGUUUUAAGCUGAAAUGAUAUCACAACAGUGAAGUAAUGCUGCAUUGUACUGCAGGAUCCAUUUUGGACAGCUCUAUUCUCUAGCCUGCAUUGCUUUUUCAAAAAGUCACAAUGUACAAUGGAUGUACACUUUAUUCACUUGUGAAAGGUAUGAAUUCAUGUAUUUUUCUAACAUACACUCAGCAAAAAAAGCAGUGUAAGUAUACUUGAAAAAAAAAAAAAAAGAAAAUAGAAUAAUAAUGUUGAUUUACUUUCCAGCUCACUAUCUAUAUAUAGUUAGAAAUGUAUAUUUAAUUUUCUGUAAAUUUGCAAGCUUUUUAACUGUGUAAUAUAUAUAAAAUUUGAAAUCCACACUGUAUUUCUCUGUUUGACUCUAUUUGUUUAAGCUAUGUAUUUGUGUACCAAUCAGACCUAUGAUAGUUUUAUUUAACUUCACAGUCCUUUUUCUGUGAAAGAAAAUUGUCUUUUUCUGCUUCCCAUUCAGUAGUACAGAUGUACAAGAAUUUUGUAACAAUCUUAAAUUUUCUUGCUUAAUAAAAAUAUUUUCACAGUAUAACACUGAAAUAACAUCAUGUAAGAUUGAAAGAAAAAAGAGAAACACAAAAUUAAAGAGAAGUUUGUGGCCUUUAGUUAUAAAUAUAGAGGAGUUUAUGGAGGCCACAAUGAAACAAUCAGCUCUGAAAGAAGUUUGAGACAAGAAAGCAUUAUUUCCAUAGGAGGUGAGUAGGGUCAGGGCACUGGUUCUGAAAAGCACCAUAAACUUUUGAAAGAUAUAAUUAAUGAUCGAAACAGGCAGACAGAUUAAGAGGUGCAUAUAUGUGUGCAUAGAUAUGUACAUUAUAUAUAAAUAUAAAUGAUAUAGUUACAGAUAUUGAUAGCAUAAUUAAUUUCUAGUUGGUCAAUAUUAGGAACCGCUAUAUAGCAUAGUAGUUGCAUUUGCUGUGGGGUGCUGGCAUUAAGAAAUUUGUAUACCAUGGUUAAACAUAUAUACAGCAACGAAUUCAACUCAGUAAGUGUUCCCUCUCCCCCUACAAAGUACACUGAUGUUUUAUAUUCUGUUGAAAUCAAUUGAAGUGUAUCACAUUGGCAUCCAAAGAAAACAACAGUUGGUGAUUUCAGAUUUCCCAGGUGAGGACUGCAAUCAGUUGAUCAAACUGCAAUUGCUUUUUACUCUGGGGUAAAUACAAAUAUGCAUGGAUUGUUCUUUGUGGUCAUGCUUCAGUGGUAUCCAGCUAGCUUCUGACAUCACCAGGUCUCCUUUACAGGCAGAUAAUUUUAUCCUUUUGCCAAGGACAGCCACUUUAGUCACAGCAUUUUGUAUCUGCCUUGGCUGCAGGAGAGUCAUCUCUUUUAACACAUUCAGAAACGAAUAUAUUUUACCAACAAAUUCUCCAUUCUAACAUUUUUGCAUCAUUUGUGAUUUUUUAUUCUUUUAUGUGGCCCUUUUACAUUAAAGCUAAACCAGAGCAUUCCUUCAUAAAUAAAUAAAUAAAUAAAUCUAGCUGAUUGAGUGCCAAAGACUGCACAAUAGACUUCACUAAGAGCUGAGAUUUAUUCAUUGCAAGCAUAAAGCAUUUGAGUACUCUGCAAUUUAAUCUUUUUUUUUUUUUUUUUUUUUUUUUUCACUUUCAUCAAGCAAUUGGUAGGCUGUAGAGAGUUCUAGCAAUUUUUUUGAUUAAUUCAGUACAAUAUUACCUUUGGUUCUCUAUCAGCAUGAAGGUUAUAAAAACAAUAGCAUUUAAGAUAUAGAAAAUAUCUCAAAAAGGUGACAAUAAUACUAAAUAUGUAUUCUAUUUUUUGACAAAAAUGUCGAUGCAGGACUGAAAAGGAGUAAUAAAAUACCACUGUGAUAUUAACACUUUGUGGGAGGACACUGUCAUCUUUGUAAUUUAAUGCUUUGUUUGUUUUUCAUAGUUUUUACACUGGCAGAAUAUCCAGAGCCCAGUAUAAAUUUUUAAAAAGUCAGCAAUUCAUUAAUACUUCUCUUUAUGUCAUGUUCACAGAUUGAAUCUGAUUGGAAUUUCAAAGAAGGUCAGAGUGAACUUUUCAAGUUUUAUGUGAAUAAAAACACCCAACAGGAUCAAAACCUAUUCCGCUUUAUUCAUUCAGAAUAUAAUCAAAUAAAUAUGGGCUUAACAGCUUCUUUCUUUAACCCCAAAUUCGAAAGGCUUAUGUGAGUUCUUCCAUUACCUUGCUAUUGUGGAAAUACUGAGAAGCAACUUCCUCUCCAUUUCAAGUUUCAUACUGGAAUUAAUGCACUAAUAUCUGUCUUGGGAAACAGGUAUUUGUAAUGUUAAUUCAGUCCUCAUCAGCAUCAUAACUUUAGAGCUAAUGACAAAAUGAUGUAACAAGAUAAUGGAGUCUGAAAGUGAACAAUAGAAAUUAUGUUCCACUCCCCAAUCCAGACACAUUUUUUAAAUAUUAGAGAUGUGGAACAAAGGUAAUGAGAAUCUGACAAGUCACUCACUAUUUGACAGUAAGGAGAAAUACAGAGAAAAAGAGAGUGUUGAAGACUCAAAAAGUGCAGUGGGAGGAAACACAGCACCAACUGUACAGAAGCAAUUUUCAUGUCACAGUCUGUAUUAAGGAAUUAAUGUCAGUUUUUCUCCUCACUUCAAAAUAUUGAUAUUUAAAACAAUCAAAACGGUUUUAUUCAAAAAGUUCCAGUAGCAGCAGUAUUAAAUUAUAGAAUUAUUUUAUUAAAUUAAACAGAAAAAUACUGAGGUUUUAUUAGCUGUGUAGAGAUGACAGGUAACCCCUUUUCUUCAACAGACUGGUGUAAGAGGGUGAUCUUAUAUUUAUUGACUUGCCACACUCUCGUGUGAUCUGUCUUUUGUACAUGUAGCUAUCUGCCAAUCAGAAGGCAGAUAGUGGAAAAUACCUUUCUCCAUCUCUUUGCCUGUGUACUCAUCCUCAUCCACAAAAUAUUUCCUUCACUUCAACAGUGUAAGUCCAUUUAAAAGUAUACAGAAACUACCAUGACUUACUAGAUUAUUACAAGAUUUAGAGGAAUAAAGUUAUGUUCUUUGAGACUAAUUAUUUUUGCUUCUGGCUUUCAUUGUAUUCUGUACAUCAACAGGCUUCCUGUUUGAAAAACAGUUCACUUUUAAAUGGCUUCAUGCUGUUAUCCAAGAUAUUAUAAAUUUGGUAUAG
ensembl:lncRNA